UACGUAGGGGGCAAGCGUUGUCCGGAAUCAUUGGGCGUAAAGCGCGUGUAGGCGGCUCGGUAAGUCUGCUGUGAAAGUCCAGGGCUCAACCCUGGGAUGCCGGUGGAUACUGUCGAGCUCGAGUCCGGAAGAGGCGAGUGGAAUUCCUGGUGUAGCGGUGAAAUGCGCAGAUAUCAGGAGGAACACCAAUGGCGAAGGCAGCUCGCUGGGACGUGACUGACGCUGAGGCAUGAAAGCGUGGGGAGCAAACAGG
rnacentral:rRNA from 1 species